rnacentral:rRNA from 1 species
UACGAAGGGGGCUAGCGUUGUUCGGAAUUACUGGGCGUAAAGCGUGCGCAGGCGGCUUCUCAAGUCAGGGGUGAAAGCCCAGAGCUCAACUCUGGAAUUGCCUUUGAGACUGAGUGGCUUGAGUACGAGAGAGGUGAGUGGAAUUCCCAGUGUAGAGGUGAAAUUCGUAGAUAUUGGGAAGAACACCGGUGGCGAAAGCGGCUUCCUGGUCCAGCACCGACGUUCAGGCACGAAAGCGUGGGGAGCAAACAGG